rnacentral:lncRNA from 1 species
UCCUAUUAUUAGUUCAAAAUAGGCAACUUUCAUUGAGGGCUAGGGUAUUGCAGAUAAUGUCCUAAUGGCCUAAGAAAGUAAUGUAUAUUUUAUAGAGGACGACAGAUAGAAAGAAUUAUAUGGCAAUUAAAUUAGAUAUAGACGAGGUUUAUGAUUAAGUUAGAUGUGACUUUCUCUUUCUAUCUCCAACAAAUGGAUUUUUAUAAUACAUGAAUUGACU